UUGCAUAAUGCUCAGCAUAAAAUGCACUUACUAUAAUAAAAAUUAUAUUAAUUUUUUAUAAAAAAAAUGUAUAAAGAUUCUAAUAAACAAACAAAACUUACUAGGAGGAUGAUGAGAUACUUGUUCAGCAAUAAAUGAAAGCUGAUUUUCUUUGCACCAAGCCACUCCUGACUUACGACCUGCAUGGAAACUGCAUAAAUACCAACGAACUACUUGAACCAUCCUAUCUUUAGGAGUAGGCAUAUCUGCUAUGCUAAAAUGUACAAUAUUGUAAUAUAUUUAUUAUAAAAGUUUAAUAAAUUUAUAAAAAAUUUUUACUAAA